CCUACGGGAGGCAGCAGUGGGGAAUAUUGGACAAUGGGCGCAAGCCUGAUCCAGCCAUGCCGCGUGAGUGAUGAAGGCCUUAGGGUUGUAAAGCUCUUUUGCCAGGGAAGAUAAUGACUGUACCUGGAGAAUAAGCCCCGGCUAACUUCGUGCCAGCAGCCGCGGUAAUACGAAGGGGGCUAGCGUUGUUCGGAAUCACUGGGCGUAAAGCGCACGUAGGCGGACUUUUAAGUCAGGGGUGAAAGCCUGAGGCUCAACCUCAGAACUGCCCUUGAUACUGGGAGUCUUGAGUAUGGUAGAGGUUGGUGGAACAGCAAGUGUAGAGGUGAAAUUCGUAGAUAUUUGCUAGAACACCAGUGGCGAAGGCGGCCAACUGGACCAUAACUGACGCUGAGGUGCGAAAGCGUGGGGAGCAAACAGGAUUAGAUACCCUGGUAGUCCACGCCGUAAACGAUGGAUGCUAGCCGUUAGCCAGCUUGCUGGGUAUGGCGCAGGUACCCUUUAAGCAUCCCGCCUGGGGAAGUCGGUCGCAAGAUUAAAACUCAAAGGAAUUGACGGCUGAGACGNGCGAGACGACGACGAGGGAGAGG
rnacentral:rRNA from 1 species